AAAGUCGUAACAAGGUUUCCGUAGGUGAACCUGCGGAAGGAUCAUUACCAAUCCACCUUUACAAACCACUGUGAACCGUUCCUGUCCUUGGGUGGCAGGAGGAUGCACUUUCAGUGUGUCUAAUCGCCACCCAAACUUUUCCAAACCACUUAUAUUAACCUCUCCUGUUGAAACCUUCUUUGCGGCUAUCUUAUGGCCCAAAGAUCAUAAUAAACAAAUACAACUUUUAACGGUGGAUCUCUUGGCUCAU
rnacentral:misc_RNA from 1 species